rnacentral:rRNA from 1 species
GCGGCGGACGGGUGAGUAACACGUGGAUAACCUACCUAUAAGACUGGGAUAACUUCGGGAAACCGGAGCUAAUACCGGAUAACAUAUUGAACCGCAUGGUUCAAUAGUGAAAGGCGGCUUUGCUGUCACUUAUAGAUGGAUCCGCGCCGUAUUAGCUAGUUGGUAAGGUAACGGCUUACCAAGGCAACGAUACGUAGCCGACCUGAGAGGGUGAUCGGCCACACUGGAACUGAGACACGGUCCAGACUCCUACGGGAGGCAGCAGUAGGGAAUCUUCCGCAAUGGGCGAAAGCCUGACGGAGCAACGCCGCGUGAGUGAUGAAGGUCUUCGGAUCGUAAAACUCUGUUAUCAGGGAAGAACAAAUGUGUAAGUAACUGUGCACAUCUUGACGGUACCUGAUCAGAAAGCCACGGCUA